AGAAAUUAAUUGGAGAACUAAUUUAUCAUGAAAAAAUAUGAGAAGGAACAUCCCAUAUUUUUUUGACAUAUUUUGAUGUGAAUUUUUGAGUAGGGGCGACAAUAUAUCAAAAGUCUAUGAUCUCUUGGACUCUUUACCCCACCUCCUUACAUGCCUAUAAAAGGGGCUUUUAUGGUUUCUUUUAUAUGUAUAAGAUAAUAGAAGAAGAGUUCUUCAUCUGAAGGGGUUUGGGGCAUUGGUUCAUGGCAUAAAAAAGAGGAGGAGAGUCCUCUCUCUUUGGGUUAGCGCAAAAGCUGAAUUCUAGGUUUUGAUCUUUAGGGUUUGGGAAGAGAGAAAAAUAUGAAAAAAAAUUAUCUUCUCCUUUCUUCUUCCACAUCCUCAUAUCCUCCAAAAAUUUAUCUUCAACCUCUAGAAAGGUUCUAAAAAUUUGAAGAAAAGAUCCAGAUCAGUCAAGAAGAAGAUCUUCAUGUGAACUAGCACUCUUGAAAAGGUCGAUCAGAUUGAAACUUCGAGUGGACUUCCCAUAGAGGCCGGAUGUAUAUGUGACUGUAAGCAACUAGUAAAGAUCUCCUUCACCAUAUCUCUCAGCAAUGAUGAUCAUUAAUCUAUGUAAAGAUAUCGAGUUUUGAACUCAGAUUAGAAGUAGAUAUGAUCUACUGCUCACAUGCAUGCAUGCUGAUUUUAUCUUCAGUAUUUUUUAGAUUUUAUAUGCAACAUAUCAUGUUAUAGACCCUAAAGUAGAUUGAUUUGAUGAUUACAUCAUAUGCAUGUUAGAUUAAUUUGAUUAAUCUAAUUAUCUUUCACUAUAAUUUAUUCAAAAAAUUUUGAAAUACAUGCAUAAAAUCACCUACGUUCACCAAUAGAAGAUAUCCAUCGAUCAUCUGAUCGUGGUGAAGAUCUACCUGUGUAAAGAUAAAAAUUAAAUUUUUAUUUAUGUAAAUAUUUUAAUCUUGUACACAUGAUGAUGCCUGGGUUAUGUUGAGAUAUAAUCUCUAUACACAUGCUUGAUUAGAUUAGAUCUAAUUAGAGAUUUAUUUUAACAUUAUUCUAAUAUAAGGUUAUUUUGGUAUAAGGAGAGUCAUUAUGUAGCAUGAUUGUCCUAGAACGAUGUUGAAAAAUUUUUAAAAUUUUUUUUUACUGUGUAUUUAAAUAUUUUGAAAUCUCUGCAUACAUAUCGAAUCGCCAUGUGACGGUAUUUUCUAAUAGUGGUAUCAGAGCCAUCUCAUUAUUGCAAGAUUAAGAUUAGAUUUUAAAUCUAAAAAUUAUUUUCAAAUCCGAAAUCAUGAAUGAUUAUGGAUAGAAAAUGGAGUUUAAGAUCUAAAACUUUUUUUGAAUCUGAAAAUCUGAAUGUUUGAAAUUUAUGUGAUGG
rnacentral:lncRNA from 1 species